ACGUCACAAAUGGGACUGCCUUGUCCCCAGAACCGUAACUGCGGAGGUUCCCACCUUCUAUUUUCCCACCCUACCUCCCUGCCCCACUUCUGCGCCCUGGGUUCUGAAUUACCAGUCAGAUUCCCUCACUUCGCUGCUCGGAUCCCUUCAGCAUCCUUCCAUCUCACUAGGAAUAAAAUACAGAAUCUCGACCACACUUCGCAAGCCCUCGUCUGCUGUAUCCUUCCAGGCACACACUGGCUUCGUGGCAUCUCGGCUCUUCUCUCGUCUCCUGAAUCCUCUCCCUGUCACCUGUGGACCUGGCCGGGGCAGUUCCCUCGGGGGCCGUUUACCUGGGCUGUUUCUGCGCUCACGUACCCACAGGCCAAAGACAGAGUCUCAGGGCCCGGGACCCUCACCAUGUGGUUCGCUUUGGACAGAAAGAAAGGUGAAGCCACUAUGCACUGUGCUUUCCUUGACACACAAGCUGUGGGCAGAAAACAAAAUGGGUGUGAGUCGUAUUUAAUUAAGAAUGCAAACCCUGCAAUCUGACUGCCCAGCUUCCUACGCUGUCUUUGCCAUUUACCAGCUGUGCAACAGUGAGCUGCUUCAGUUUCCUCAGCUGCAGAGCAGGAGUAACAGUGCAGCUUCCAGAAGAGCAAAGGGAGAAUCAAAUGAGUUGAUCUGAAAACAUUCAGAACAGUGUCCCUUAUACGUGGAAGGGACACUUUCAUCUCACGUUCAGUAGGAAAGAAACAGCCACUAUUCAGACAGCAAAUAAAA